rnacentral:rRNA from 1 species
UACAGAGGUCCCAAGCGUUGUUCGGAUUCACUGGGCGUAAAGGGCGCGUAGGUGGUUGUGUAAGUGAGAUGUGAAAUCCCUGGGCUUAACCUAGGAACUGCAUCUUAUACUGCAUAACUGGAGUACUGUAGAGGGUAGUGGAAUUUCCGGUGUAGCGGUGAAAUGCGUAGAGAUCGGAAGGAACACCAGUGGCGAAGGCGGCUACCUGGACAGAUACUGACACUGAGGCGCGAGAGCGUGGGGAGCAAACAGG